CUCUGAGCUUGAAUCCUGGACCAGAGAGGAGAGAGCAGUUCCACUCACACUGUUAGAACUGAGGAUCAGGGGGCUGAGCAGAGGUCCAAAGGCGGCUGGGCGAGGAGAAGUUUGGCAGUGUGAUGGACAUGGGAGUGGAGCUCCAGCAAGGAGUCAAGGACACAGGAUGUGGAGCUGCAGAAAGCAGGUUUUAGCUGAUGUAGUGCUGUGUUGCCCAGUGUCUGUGCCUCCUCUGGACUCCACUUGCACUGCAGUGAAUCCACAUCUAGGGAGGAAAAGAGGGCCUUUGUCUACUGUAUGUGAGUAAUACCUACUCUGAUUAUGACUGUGUAGACACCAAAUAUCACUGAAACCCAAGUGGGCAGUGAUUGGAUCUGCUGUGGAUAUUGUUUCAUGAUCAAUACCUAGAAAAGUGUCGCACAUAGUUUGUCUUCAUGUAUGUUGGUAAAGAUAUGUAGCCACCUGCUCUUCCCUGAUGUCUCAAAGGGCCCUUUGCAUAUCCCAAGGUUUCCGCUCUGGUACCACC
rnacentral:lncRNA from 1 species